AUAAGGUCAAGGUAAUAAGAGCGUACGGUGGAUGCCUUGGCGCCAAGAGUCGAAGAAGGACGUGGUAAGCUGCGAAAAGCUUCGGGGAGCCGCAAGCAGGCGUUGAACCGGAGAUGUCCGAAUGGGGAAACCCGGAUGGAGUAAUAUCCAUUCAUCCUGUAUUGAACACAUAGAUACAGAGAAGACAACCUGGGGAACUGAAACAUCUAAGUACCCAGAGGAAGAGAAAGAAAACUCGAUUCCCUGAGUAGCGGCGAGCGAAACGGGAAGAGCCUAAACCAGCGUCUUCGGAUGCUGGGGUUGCGGGACUCACAUCAAAAGGAUGAAAGCCUAGCCGAAGAGGUCUGGAAAGGCCCAUCACAGAGGGUAACAAUCCUGUAGGCGAAAGGCAGAAAUACUUGUGAGGAUCCCAAGUACCGCGGGACACGAGAAACCCCGUGGGAAUCCGGGGGGACCACCCCCCAAGGCUAAAUACUCCUUGGCGACCGAUAGUGAACCAGUACCGUGAGGGAAAGGUGAAAAGAACCCCGGGAGGGGAGUGAAAAAGAACCUGAAACCGUAUGCUUACAAACAGUCAGAGCACUUUUAAUGUGUGAUGGCGUACCUUUUGUAGAAUGGACCGGCGAGUUACGGUAACGAGCGAGGUUAAGUCGAAAAGACGGAGCCGGAGCGAAAGCGAGUCUUAAAAGGGCGAAUAGUUCGUUGUCGUAGACCCGAAACUUGGUGAUCUACCCAUGGUCAGGGUGAAGCUUAGGUAAGACUGAGUGGAGGCCCGAACUGACCGGCGUUGAAAAGCCGGCGGAUGAACUGUGGGUAGGGGUGAAAUGCCAAUCGAACCAAGAGAUAGCUGGUUCUCCCCGAAAUAGCUUUAGGGCUAGCCUCAAUUGAUGAUUCAUGGCGGUAGAGCACUGUUAGGGCUAGGGGCCUAACCAGGUUACUGAACUCUCACAAACUGCGAAUGCCAUGAAUUUAAGUUGGGAGUCAGACUGCGGGGGAUAAGCUUCGUAGUCGAAAGGGAAACAGCCCAGACCGACAGCUAAGGUCCCAAAGUAAGUGCUAAGUGGAAAAGGAUGUAGAGUUGCUAAAACAACCAGGAUGUUGGCUUAGAAGCAGCCACCAUUCAAAGAGUGCGUAAUAGCUCACUGGUCGAGUGACUCUGCGCCGAAAAUGUAACGGGGCUCAAGCACAACACCGAAGCUUCGGAUUCAAGAGGCAAGAUGCUAGAGGCAAGAAACAAGAGGUGAAAGAAUGAUUACAAGUUACAAAGACUUGGAAGUAUAUCAAAGGUCGUAUAAAGCGGCACUGAUGAUACAUGAAAUCACCUUAAAAUUUCCUGAUUAUGAGAGAUAUGAACUAGGAAGCCAGAUCAGAAAAGCAACAAAAUCCAUACCACUAAACAUAGGGGAAGGAUAUGGAAAGAAGAACUCGACAGAAGAGUUUAAGCGCUUUUUACAAAUGGCAAUUGGUUCAUGUGACGAGGUCAAGAUAUUGAUUGAAUUUGCCAAAGACUUAGGAUAUAUAACAGGAAACGAAUAUUUGGUAUUAACAGAUGAAUAUGACCAAAUAGGAAAGAUGUUAUAUAUGCUGCACAAGAAAUGGCAAAAGAAAUAAUCUUGCAUCUUGUUUCUAGCUUCUUGCUUCUUGAAUGGUAGGGGAGCGUACUCAACAGGACGAAGCAUGACCGGAAGGACAUGUGGACAGUUGAGCAGAGAGAAUGCCGGUAUAAGUAAGCGAAAAGGCAGGCGAGAAUCCUGCCCGCCGAAAGCCUAAGGUUUCCUGGGGAAGGCUCGUCCGCCCAGGGUAAGUCAGGACCUAAGUCGAGGCGAAGAGCGUAGAUGAUGGACAAUCGGUUAAAAAUCCGAUACCACCUGAACCCGUAUGAAGGAAGGGGUGACACAGGAGGGUAGGCACAGCGCACCGUUGGUCGAGUGCGUCCAAGCCGGUAGGGAGAAUAGUAGGAAAAACCGCUAUUCAAAAUCCCGAGAGGUGACGGGGAGCGAAACUAAGUAGCGAACUGGCUGAUCCCACACUGUCAAGAAAAGCCUCUAACGAGGGUUUGGGUGCCUGUACCGCAAACCGACACAGGUAGGUGGGGUGAGAAUCCUAAGGCGCGCGAGAGAACCCUCGUUAAGGAACUCGGCAAAAUGACCCCGUAACUUCGGGAGAAGGGGUACCUCGGUAAUGUGAAAGUAAACAACUGGAGCAAGAAGAGGUCGCAGAGAAAAGGCCCAAGCGACUGUUUAACAAAAACACAGGUGCCUGCAAAGUCGAAAGACGACGUAUAGGUGCUGACGCCUGCCCGGUGCUGGAAGGUUAAGGGGAUUGCUUAGCGCAAGCGAAGGUGAGAACCGAAGCCCCAGUAAACGGCGGCCGUAACUAUAACGGUCCUAAGGUAGCGAAAUUCCUUGUCGGGUAAGUUCCGACCCGCACGAAAGGCGUAACGAUUUGGGCACUGUCUCAACGAGGGACUCGGCGAAAUUGUAAUACCGGUGAAGAUGCCGGUUACCUGCGACAGGACAGAAAGACCCCGUGGAGCUUUACUGUAGCCUGACAUUGGAUUUUGGUAUAUCAUGUACAGGAUAGGUGGGAGACUUGGAAUCUGGUACGCCAGUAUCAGAGGAGUCACCGGUGGGAUACCACUCUUGAUGUGCUGAAGUUCUAACUUUAAACCGUAAGCCGGUUAAAGGACAGUGUCAGGUGGGCAGUUUGACUGGGGCGGUCGCCUCCCAAAGAGUAACGGAGGCGCCCAAAGGUUUCCUCAGCGCGGAUGGAAAUCGCGCGAAGAGUGUAAAGGCAGAAGGGAGCUUGACUGCGAGAGAGACAUCUCGAGCAGGGACGAAAGUCGGGCUUAGUGAUCCGGCGGUACCGAGUGGAAGGGCCGUCGCUCAACGGAUAAAAGCUACCCCGGGGAUAACAGGCUUAUCUCCCCCAAGAGUCCACAUCGACGGGGAGGUUUGGCACCUCGAUGUCGGCUCAUCGCAUCCUGGGGCUGUAGUAGGUCCCAAGGGUUGGGCUGUUCGCCCAUUAAAGCGGUACGUGAGCUGGGUUCAGAACGUCGUGAGACAGUUCGGUCCCUAUCCGUCGCAGGCGUAGGAAAUUUGAGAGGAACUGUCCCUAGUACGAGAGGACCGGGAUGGACAGACCUCUGGUGUACCAGUUAUCCUGCCAAGGGUACAGCUGGGUAGCUAAGUCUGGAAGGGAUAAGCGCUGAAAGCAUCUAAGCGCGAAGCCGGCCUCAAGAUAAGAUUUCCCACAGCGCAAGCUGGUAAGACCCCAGAGAGACGAUCUGGUUGAUAGGCCGGAUGUGGAAGGGCAGCAAUGUCCGGAGCUGACCGGUACUAAUUGGUCGAGGACUUGACCUUA
rnacentral:rRNA from 1 species